CAGGAGAGAGAAAGAGAGAGCAAAGGGCUGUACAGUAAGCAUGGCUGGGAGGCCUCAGGAAACUUACAAUCAUGGCGAAAGUCAAAGGCGAAGCAGAUUAACUUGGAGAACACCUAUACAUUUGGAAGAUGAAUCUUCUCAUGCAAGAUAUGAGGUAUUUCCAUUUAUUCAUGCUAUCUAUGAUAGCCUUCAGUUAUAUUUUACAGUUUUCUUCACAUUUCUUUCUGGCGUAUUGUGUUUUAGUUGCUACCACACACGGAUCAUUUUUUCCAUGACUUUGUUCUAUUGGUUCCUAUUUACAUGUAAUAACAAGCUAAUUUUUGUAGGUUGAUCUCAGAUCUGGCCCCCUUGCUGAUAUUUCUCAUUUGUUCUAGAAGUUUGUCAGUUGACUCUUGUAGAGUUUCCAGGUAGAAGACUGUCAGUACAACACUGCCAGUGCCAUACCCAUGACCGAUA